rnacentral:rRNA from 1 species
UACGGGGGGGGCUAGCGUUAUUCGGAAUUAUUGGGCGUAAAGCGCGCGUAGGCGGCGUCGUAAGUCAUGGGUGAAAUCCCUCGGCUCAACCGAGGAAUUGCCCUUGAAACUGCUUCGCUUGAGGCCGGGAGGGGGUAGCGGAAUUCCCAGUGUAGCGGUGAAAUGCGUAGAUAUUGGGAGGAACACCGGUGGCGAAGGCGGCUACCUGGACCGGUUCUGACGCUGAUGCGCGAAAGCGUGGGGAGCAAACAGG